AUAUCAAUAAGCGGAGGAAAAGAAACCAACAGGGAUUGCCCUAGUAACGGCGAGUGAAGCGGCAACAGCUCAAAUUUGAAAUCUGGCCCUAGGCCCGAGUUGUAAUUUGCAGAGGAUGCUUUUGGCAAAGCGCUUACCGAGUCCCCUGGAACGGGGCGCCACAGAGGGUGAGAGCCCCGUAUGGUAUGACGCCGAGCCUCUGUAAAGCUCCUUCGACGAGUCGAGUAGUUUGGGAAUGCUGCUCUAAAUGGGAGGUAAAUUUCUUCUAAAGCUAAAUACCGGCCAGAGACCGAUAGCGCACAAGUAGAGUGAUCGAAAGAUGAAAAGCACUUUGAAAAGAGGGUUAAAUAGCACGUGAAAUUGUUGAAAGGGAAGCGCUCGUGACCAGACUUGCGCCGGGCGGAUCAUCCAGCGUUCUCGCUGGUGCACUCCGCCCGGCUCAGGCCAGCAUCGGUUUUCGCCGGGGGACAAAAGCUCCGGGAACGUGGCUCCCUUCGGGGAGUGUUAUAGCCCGUUGCUUAAUACCCCGGCGGGGACCGAGGACCGCGCUUCGGCAAGGAUGCUGGCGUAAUGGUCAUCAGCGACCCGUCUUGAAACACGGACCGAGGAGUCAAGCAUUAGUGCGAGUGUUUGGGUGUAAAACCCGCACGCGUAAUGAAAGUGAACGUAGGUGAGAGCUUCGGCGCAUCAUCGACCGAUCCUGAUGUUUUCGGAUGGAUUUGAGUAGGAGCAUUAACGCUUGGACCCGAAAGAUGGUGAACUAUACUUGAAUAGGGUGAAGCCAGAGGAAACUCUGGUGGAGGCUCGCAGCGGUUCUGACGUGCAAAUCGAUCGUCAAAUUUGAGUAUAGGGCGAAAGACUAAUCGA
rnacentral:rRNA from 1 species